UUAAAUCACAUUAGGAUUUAAUGAAAUAACUUUGUAUUACUACUAUUACUAGUAGUGGGACAGUCCAGAUUUUUAUUAAAAUUAACUUCUCAGAUUAACAAGUUAUUCCUAAGGCAAAGCUAGAGUGUUCUCCUGGGUGGAUUUUCUGUUACACUUGGCUGCUAUGAUGUUCAUGUCCUUGGUAGCAGUUACAGUAUUUACAGUUGAGAACAUAAAAUUCUCUGAAGACAUACCUACCACUGUUGUUGAAAUCCAUUCUCAUGCCUGGACCCUCUUUAUACACAGCUCAGCUCUGCCCCAAACUCCAAUCAAGGACCCAACUACAGGAUUCACUGCCUGCCUGCUCUCUGUACAAAUGGUUCUGUCUCCUCAGACACGUGUUCUGCUCUGGGGCUAGCCGAAGACUCCACGCUUUUGGACGUAUUUCCCUAUUUCCCUUUAGCUGAAUUGUGGUUUCUGUUUUUCUUCCCGGUGUUAACGCGUUCACAUUUCUAUAGUCUAGGAAGAAAUAGCCCAUGGUUUUUCCUCCAAGGGGAAGUCACAAAUUGUUCAACCAAGACCUGAAUCUGAUUGAGUAUUUGGCUUGAUCAACAUAUUUGAUCCAGAUAUACCAUCUGGUCCAGAGAUAUUGUCUGUUAUGUGUGUAUGUGUUGUUGUUGUUGUUCUUGUUGACUAUUUUCUCUUUAUGUUUGUUUGUUUAAGAAAGGAUCUUAUGUAGCCCAGAACAACCUCAACUUCCUGACCCUCUCACCUUUACUUCCUACGUGCCGGGCUGACAGGCGUGUUCUGAAGUUAAAGGCCUGUUCUGAGGUUCCAGGUGUAUUCCAUAGUUCCAGGCAUGCACCACCACGUCUGUCCUCCUGGCUUAUGCUUUCUGUUGUGCAGCGAAACAUGAAGCCAGUAGAAACCUUACCCUUUGUAUUUUGGACAUUGAUCUUUCCUGAUUUGCCUGUGAUGCCCAGCAACAGCAGGAGUCACGGUUUUCUGUCAGCCAUGUGUUCACAAGGGGAAACGACCCAGCCUGCACUCUCAGGUGGGCUGAGCUGCUAGGCUAUGGUGUUGCAUGGGGUACACAUACAGUUCCAACUUACAACGUUUCCAAUUUAUGAUCAUUUUAGUCAGCAGUAACCGAAGGAUAUGUUGAUAAGCAUCUGGGUAUGAGAUUUUUCAUUUCAAAGGACAAUUCUAACUUCCUAAACUAAGGGAGCAUUAGAAGAAUCCGCACUGAACCACUAUAGGUCAUAGAGGCGACUAACUUGUCCCUAUAUCUGGGCUAUGUUCUUUCUAGAGAACCACAGUCUCCACUUGUCCCCAUUGUCUUACUUCCAAGACUAUUGGGUAAAGAGCAGUCAUCCCACAGCAUCACCAUGGGCACCUCACAUCUGUCACUGCCACUGUCCUCUUCUGAGUGCCACACUUAUGCUCAAAAAUCUUCCAGUACUUCUCCUAGGAUAUUGGUUCUGCCUUCUACCAGACAAGGACUCACCAAGGUAAGACUACAGUGUCUGCUUCGUCUCUUGGGCUGCUUUUAAGUGAAGCUGGUGUAACACCCAUAGGCUGUGGAUGCAGGAAAUUCUGAGACUUGGUCAAAAGAAGAAGGUGUAGCCAGGGAAAGGUUUUUUGCAGCAACAGGAGUCUAAUUUGAUAGCUGUGGGCUACAGAGGGAGGGGAAAAAGAGAUUCGAAUGACCUUUAUUCCCUGAAGGUUGGCAGGAGUUACAAACUCAAGGCCUGUUCUGCCUUUUUUCAGUUUUUGCAGCAGGAUUUGAGUGUCUACUCUGUGUCUUGGUAUGCUAGAAGAAACUGUGACAGGAAUGGUCUCUGUACUUAUAGACACUGGACUAAGAUAAGUGGAUAGAGUUUAGGACACCAGGGGGGUAAAAUAUCCACCAGGCAGUUGCCCAAAAAGGAAGCCAUGAGAUGUGUAGACCUUGAGUUCGAAAUCACCAGUUCAUGGUUGGCAACUGAAGUCAGGAGGGCGGGACAUUGUCAAUGAGUGAGCAGGCAGACAGACAGACAGACAAGUGUGACCAGCACACCCAGGGCAGAUACACCCUGACUCCUCUCCUUUCGUUCUCCACACCCGGGAGAUCCAAGGAACUUUCAUCCUGCAUCCACCUAAAACCAAAGACAACUGUGGCCUCAAGCGAGACAUGGAGACUCCUUCCAAGGACUGACUAAGCAAGUAAUUAACUAUGCUCCAGCAGACACCAGGCGGGUGCGCCUCUAAUUUAAUUUUGUGUGGUCACUACUAACCUGGAGGGAUCGUUAGAUCCCUCACCUCGAAGGCUCUGUCUCAGGACUGACCCCCACAAACCUCAUGCUGUGCCCUAUAUUUUGUUAGUAUAUUUGUUUGCUGUGGUCAUACGGAUUGAAGCCAGGGCUCUGUGUGCUUGCUUAGCUGUAGCAGAGCCUGGUCUGUACUUCUGACCAGCUAUAAAUCACAGCAUCCAUACCUCCCUACGAGGGGGGCCAUGUAUUUUAUUCCAAGAGGCCCAAGGUCCUCCCAGAGUCUAGGGAUUAGGGCUGAAAGCCCACCUCUCUAAUCAAACUGAGUCUUACCAGUGUCCCGUCCCCAUCCUGAUGCUAACUAGGGGUAUCCUCCUACCCCAUUACAGGAUUUUACAAUGUAGCUCAGGCUAGCCUUGACUUCAUGAUCCUAUUGUCUUUCCCUCUGUGCUGGGCUAUAGGCCUGCACCACCAUGGGGCCCGGAUAACACAGACAUAUAAUAAAUGUGAGCAUUAUCCAAAUGUAGAAAAAAAGAAUAAAAGGAGAUGCUUGGGAGAAAUUUGUUUCUGGAUAUGGUAGUACAAAGAAUCUUUUGUUUUCAUUCUUCAGUUCAGAAAAGAAAAGAUGUUAUUUGUCAAGUUCAAAUGUAAAAGGCCAUACAUCCAAGGGAGUGGGGGAAGGCUGGAAAAGGAAAGGACAGAACAGGAAGGGGAGGGGAGGGCAAAGAGGUUAUAGGAGGACCAGCCUGUCCCAGGAAAAGCAGGGAAGUGCCUCCUUCAACCACCACCACUACCACCCCACCAACCCCCAGCCGCUAAGGAUGAUGGCUCUCUGAGAAGGGCUGUGUCACUUCCUUUUACUAAGACCUCUAUGGAGGCCUCUAUGUCAUUAAUACAACAGAGCCUCCUCCAUCCCUCCUUUGCCUGGAGGUCAAGAACUACAGAGGAAAAAUUCAAAGACAUAAAUGACUACAGUAGCCAAAACCUCAUGAUGGUUGACUGAAGGUUUGCUUUCACAGUCUGUUUUGCGAGCUCCGCUAAAGCCCGACUUUUUGCAUAAUGGCGGCGCCUUUAAGACUGGAGAACGAUGAUCUGGAAGCAUUUUAAAGAAGCCAUUGAUUCAGAUGCUCCUGUGUGCUCUGCAGAGGGGAGGGAAGUGGCCUUUGUGGAUUGAGAAUUCACCCCAUCUCUGAGACUAAGCCUCUGCCCCCAAAUGACAUUCAAGAACUUGGUAUUUAUGUUGCUGCGUGGUUUGGCUUUUCUGAGAAGCAAGAUUGGUUUGUG
rnacentral:lncRNA from 1 species